rnacentral:rRNA from 1 species
UACGAAGGGGGGCUAGCGUUGCUCGGAAUCACUGGGCGUAAAGCGCACGUAGGCGGACUCUUAAGUACGGUGGUGAAAUCCUGGAGCUCAACUCCAGAACUGCCUUCGAUACUGAGAGUCUUGAGUCCGGGAGAGGUGAGUGGAACUGCGAGUGUAGAGGUGAAAUUCGUAGAAUAUUCGCAAGAACACCAGUGGCGAAGGCGGCUCACUGGCCCGGUACUGACGGCUGA